rnacentral:rRNA from 1 species
UCAGCAUACUGCCGUGAAUACGUUCCCGGGCCUUGUACACACCGCCCGUCACACCAUGAGAGUUGGGAAUACCCGAAGCCUGUGAGCUAACUUUAGAGGCAGCAGUCGAAGGUAGAAUCAAUGAUUGGGGUGAAGUCGUAACAAGGUAUC